UUUCCGUAGGUGAACCUGCGGAAGGAUCAUUAUUGAAUAUUCUUGAUGGGUUGUAGCUGGCUCUUUGGGGCAUGUGCACGCCUGUCUUGACUUUAUUCAUCCACCUGUGCACCUUUUGUAGUCUUGGGGGUUGAGAGCAGUCAAUAAUCGGACGACCAUUGGUCACUCCGGAUGUGAGGAAUGCUGAGUGCGAAAGCAUACAGCUCUUCUCAAAGUGACUUGUAAACCUCUCCUUCAAGUACUAUGUAUUCAUAUACCCAUAGUAUGUUGUAGAAUGUGAUGAAUGGGCCUAAGUGCCUAUAACAAUCUUAUACAACUUUCAGCAACGGAUCUCUUGGCUCUC
rnacentral:misc_RNA from 1 species